GCCAUGGUGGCGGAACUGGAAGACGCACUAGCUUUAGGAGCUAGCGUCCGCAAGGACUUGUGGGUUCGACUCCCACCCAUGGCACCA
rnacentral:tRNA from 1 species